rnacentral:rRNA from 1 species
AGAAAUGACUGCUAAUACCGCAUAUGCCUAAGUAACACAUGUUACAAUAGGGAAAGGAGCAAUCCGCUGAUAGAUGAGCUUGCGUCUGAUUAGAUAGUUGGCAGGGUAACGGCCUACCAAGGCGACGAUCAGUAGCCGGCCUGAGAGGGUGAACGGCCACCAUUGGGACUGAGACACGGGCCCAAACUCCUACGGGAGGCAGCAGUGGGGAAUAUUGCACAAUGGGGGAAACCCUGAUGCAGCGACGCCGCGUGAGCGAUGAAGUAUUUCGGUAUGUAAAGCUCUAUCAGCAGGGAAGAAAAUGACGGUACCUGACUAAGAAGCACCGGCUAAAUACGUG